rnacentral:rRNA from 1 species
UGAGUAACCUGCCCUUAACUCUGGGAUAAGCCUGGGAAACUGGGUCUAAUACCGGAUAUGACUCCUCAUCGCAUGGUGGGGGGUGGAAAGCUUUUUGUGGUUUUGGAUGGACUCGCGGCCUAUCAGCUUGUUGGUGAGGUAAUGGCUCACCAAGGCGACGACGGGUAGCCGGCCUGGGAGGGUGACCGGCCACACUGGGACUGAGACACGGCCCAGACUCCUACGGGAGGCAG